rnacentral:rRNA from 1 species
AGGAUGAACGCUGGCGGCGUGCUUAACACAUGCAAGUCGAACGAUGAACUGGAGCUUGCUCCGGGGAUUAGUGGCGAACGGGUGAGUAACACGUGAGUAACCUGCCCUUGACUCUGGGAUAAGCACUGGAAACGGUGUCUAAUACCGGAUAUGACCUUCAGCCGCAUGGCUAGGGGGUGGAAAGAUUUUUUGGCAAGGAUGGACUCGCGGCCUAUCAGGUAGUGGUGAGGUAAUGGCUCACCAAGCCGACGACGGGUA